AGUGCUGUUUACCAGGGUCUCUGGUCCCUGCCAGAAUAUAAUCUCUGACUAGGUUUGAUCUAAAAGGAGGAUUCUAUGCACCUGUGGCAACUGGCACUUAGGCGGUGUCUUGGUGUUAACAGAUUUGAAUUCACAUCUUCUGAGCCUCAAAUUGUACUCAGUGGGCGAAUACAGGCAUGCUUUUGCUUUGGUUCCAUAGUAUGGUAAGAUUAAUAUUAAGAAAAUAGAAGGUAUAACUUAAUUACCUUUUUUUCUGGGACUGUGAAGAAAUCCUUAUUGGAGAAGCCCUCAGAGCUCAUGUCACAUUCAUCCUCUUUCCUGUCCCUCACCGGAUUCUCUCUCAAUCAGGAAAGAUACCCAAAUAAUAGUAUGUUCAAUGAGGUAUAUGGGAAAAACCUGACAUCCAGCUCCAAAGCAGAACUCAGUCCCUCAAUGGCCCCCCAGGAAACAUCUCUGUAUUCCCUUUUUGAAGGGACUCCGUGGUCUCCAUCACUUCCUGCCAGUUCAGGUAUUAACUACUCUUUAAAUUAUAGACCUUACAUUUCCUGUACACUCAGAUUGAUUAAGGGAUAGUGAGAUUCUGUAAUUACAAAUAUAUCAUUUGUUGGGUUAUUUUUAUUUUUUGUUUGUUUGUUUUUGUAACUUCUGAAAGGAAAUAGAAAAAAAAAAAGAA
rnacentral:lncRNA from 10 species